rnacentral:rRNA from 1 species
GACGAACCGCCCGAACGUUGUUCGGAAUCACUGGGCGUAAAGGGUGCGUAGGCGGGUCUUUAAGUCAGGGGUGAAAUCCUGGAGCUCAACUCCAGAACUGCCUUUGAUACUGAAGAUCUUGAGUUCGGGAGAGGUGAGUGGAACUGCGAGUGUAGAGGUGAAAUUCGUAGAUAUUCGCAAGAACACCAGUGGCGAAGGCGGCUCACUGGCCCGAUACUGACGCUGAGGCACGAAAGCGUGGGGAGCAAACAGG